GUUGGCUUCUCUCGGAAGAUUGGCAAUGGCAAUAGGGUUAGAUUCUGGGAGGACCAUUGGUUUGGUAAUGCCACUCUGGCUACCCAGUAUUGGGACCUGUAUGUUCUGAAUAAUGAGCAAAAUGCCUCCAUUGAUAAGAUCUGGGACGACAGUAACCUUAAGCUCACAUUCCGGAGAUGUUUCACCCAGGAGCUUAUGUCUCUGUGGUUCGAACUAUUGGAAAUUGCCAGUUCUAUCCACCUCACAUUAGAAGAGGACUCCCCUGUUUGGAAUAUGAAUUCCAAAGGGGUUUACUCUGUUAAAUCCUUUUAUAAGUUUGUCAAUUUCAGGGGAGUGUUGCCUGUUAGUUCUCCUGCCAUUUGGAAGAUCAAAAUUCCACCUAGAAUUCAGAUCUUUCUAUGGCUCUUAACUAACAACAAGCUAUUAACCAGAGAUAACCUGUCCAAAAGGCAGGAUGUAGGUGAUACUACUUGUGUAUUUUGCUCUGAACAAGAAACUUGUUCUCAUUUAUUCAGUACAUGUGUUGUUGCUGCUGAAUUCUGGAAAGCCAUUUGUGUCCUAACUGGGAUUAAUGAAGACGUUAAUAUAACGACCAUCUCCCAGUACUGGAUCAGAGGAGAUAGUUUUCCUGUGACUAAUAUUGUCCAUGGAGCUGGACUGUGGGCUAUCUGGAAAACUCGCAAUGACAUGGUUUUCAACAAUGUUUGUUGGUCUGGCUUGCAGGUUAUCUGGUGA
rnacentral:rRNA from 1 species